UACGGAGGGGGUUAGCGUUGUUCGGAAUGACUGGGCGUAAAGCGCGCGUAGGCGGGCUGGAAAGUUGGGGGUGAAAUCCCGGGGCUCAACCCCGGAAUGGCCUUCAAGACUCCCAGCCUAGAGUUCGAGAGAGGUGAGUGGAAUUCCGAGUGUAGAGGUGAAAUUCGUAGAUAUUCGCAAGAACACCAGUGGCGAAGGCGGCUCACUGGCCCGGUACUGACGCUGAGGUGCGAAAGCGUGGGGAGCAAACAGG
rnacentral:rRNA from 1 species